GACGAACGCUGGCGGCGUGCCUAAUACAUGCAAGUAGAACGCUGAAGAGAGGAGCUUGCUCUUCUUGGGUGAGUGGCGAACGGGUGAGUAACACGUAGGUAACCUGCCUUGUAGCGGGGGAUAACUAAUGGAAACGAUAGCUAAUACCGCAUAACAAUGGGUGCAACAUGUAAUUAAGAUGAAAGGAGCAGUUGCUCCACUACAUGGUGGACCUGCGUCGUAUUAGCUAGUAGGUGAGGUAAUGGCUCACCGAGGGGAAGGUACCUAGCCGGCCUGAGGGGGUGGUCGGCCCCGUCGGGACGGGUGACCGGCCCCGACUCCUCCGGGACGCAGCCGUAAGGCAUCCUCGGCAAAGGGGGGAACCCUGACCGAGCAACGCCCGGGGGGUUGAUAAAGUUUUCCGGUCGGCAAGCUCGGUUUUUUGGCAAGGACGAGUGUUAGAGUGGAAAGUGCACCCUGUGACGGUAGCUAACCAGAAAGUGACGGCUAACUACGUG
rnacentral:rRNA from 1 species